AUUGAACGCUGGCGGCAUGCUUUACACAUGCAAGUCGAACGGUAACAGGCCGCAAGGUGCUGACGAGUGGCGAACGGGUGAGUAAUGCAUCGGAACGUGCCCAGUCGUGGGGGAUAACGCAGCGAAAGCUGCGCUAAUACCGCAUACGAGCUAUGGAUGAAAGCGGGGGACCGUAAGGCCUCGCGCGAUUGGAGCGGCCGAUGUCAGAUUAGGUAGUUGGUGGGGGAAAGGCUCACCAAGCCAACGAUCUGUAGCUGGUCUGAGAGGACGACCAGCCACACUGGGACUGAGACACGGCCCAGACUCCUACGGGAGGCAGCAGUGGGGAAUUUUGGACAAUGGGCGCAAGCCUGAUUCAGCAAUGCCGCGUGCAGGAAGAAGGCCUUCGGGUUGUAAACUGCUUUUGUACGGAACGAAACGGUCCUGGUUAAUACCCGGGGCUAAUGACGGUACCGUAAGAAUAAGCACCGGCUAACUACGUGCCAGCCGCCGCAGUAAUAC
rnacentral:rRNA from 1 species